UACGGAGGGUGCGAGCGUUGUCCGGAAUCACUGGGCGUAAAGGGCGCGUAGGCGGCGCGAGCAGUCGGUCGUGAAAGUCCGGAGCUCAACUCCGGAUCGGCGGUCGAUACUCUCGUGCUUGAGCACUGUAGAGGCAGGUGGAAUUCCGGGUGUAGCGGUGGAAUGCGUAGAGAUCCGGAAGAACACCGGUGGCGAAGGCGGCCUGCUGGGCAGUAGCUGACGCUGAUGCGCGACAGCGUGGGGGGCAAACAGG
rnacentral:rRNA from 1 species